GGAGGGCCCUAAGACGUCCUGGACCCGGGAGAUAACCAAUGACGGUGAUCUCAUUCUGACCAUGAGCGCAGACGAUGUGGUCUGCACCCGGGUCUACGUCCGGGAGUAACCAGAAGCAGGAGCUUCUCUUCCUUCCAUCCCUCUCUCCUUCUCCUCCUCCUCCACCACUCCAUCCCUCUCUCCUUCUCCUCCUCCUCCACCACUCCAUCCCUCUCUCCUUCUCCUCCUCCUCCACCACUCCAUCCCUCUCUCCUUCUCCUCCUCCUCCACCACUCCAUCCCUCUCUCCUUCUCCUCCUCCACCACUCCAUCCCUCUCUCCUUCUCCUCCUCCUCCACCACUCCAUCCCUCUCUCCUUCUCCUCCUCCAUCACUCCAUCCCUCUCUCCUUCUCCUCCCCCACCUCUCACUCCACUCCAAGGAGGUUCUCAGAGAAGGCAACAUGUAGAAUUUAGUUCUUUGAUCUCAGUCAGAUACAGAACUAUGUAAUCCUCUAAUCUUCACAGUAUCUAGUCUGUCACAUUUUUCAAAUCGAGAAUUUAGUCACCUAUCAGUCAGUCUGUCUGACACUCCCAGUUACUUGGUGUUGUUUAUUGUGUGUGUGUCUUGGUGAUAAUUUUCAGUUUGUAGGUGUGUGUGUGUGAGUGUGUGUGUUCAUGAAGUUGGCCUGCCUGGUGUGUGUGUGUGUGUGUGUCAGUAUGUAGCUAUAUGUUUAGUUCAGUAAACCAAUCUGUGAGUACUUCCAGUUUCAGGUCAGUUUGAAUUUUUCUGUUUUACUUCUUUCACUGUUUGGGCACCCCUUUUUCUAUUUCUCUCUAAAGUUUUAUAUUUAUUAUUACAGUAGACCCUGACACCACAGCGCUAUGUUUUUACUUCCUGUCUCUUUUCUUAUUUUAUAAAAUGUGAUCAUAGGGAAUAACGUUUUCUAUGGGGUGACAAUAAAGCACGUUAUGGACUCCA